rnacentral:rRNA from 1 species
CAGAUUGUAAACCCGAACAAGUGUUCCAUUAUGUUUGGGCCAAGCUGUUCGGAGGUGAACAAACAGGAGGUGAUGCACACUUUGGAGGUUGUCAAUGCGAGCUUUGAAGAGAAGUACCUUGGUUUUCCUACUCCAAAUGGCCGGUUAUCUAAAGGGAAAUUGAAGAGCGUUCAACAGCAGCUUACCAAGAGAAUAAUCCAAUGGGGGGAGCUCAUGUCUCAGGCGGGAAGAGAGGUCCUUAUAAAGGCCGUAGCACAAGCCCUUCCGACAUUCCUUAUGAGCAUUUUCAAGUUCCCAAGAAGCACAUGCGAUGACCUUGCACGCAUGAUCCGUAGCUACUGGUGGGGCGCAUACAGAGGGAAGAGGAAGACGCACUGGAAGGCUUGGGAUCAC